GAAUUCAUGGCAUCGUGGUUUGAGUGUUGGACUGUGACUCUGGAGACCAGGGUUUGAAUCCCUGUUCAGCCA